AGAGUUUGAUCCUGGCUCAGAACAAACGCUGGCGGCGUGCCUAACACAUGCAAGUCGUACGAGAAAGUCCGCUUCGGUGGAUGAGUAAAGUGGCGCACGGGUGAGUAACGCGUGGACAAUCUACCCUUUAGUCUGGAAUAACUUAUCGAAAGGUGAACUAAUACCGGAUAAUAUCCCGAUUUCUUCGGCGAUCGGGAUCAAAGAAGGCCUCUGCUUGCAAGCUUUCACUGAAGGAUGAGUCCGCGUACCAUUAGCUAGUUGGCAGGGUAAUGGCCUACCAAGGUUAUGAUGGUUAGCUGGUCUGAGAGGAUGAUCAGCCACACUGGAACUGAAACACGGUCCAGACUCCUACGGGAGGCAGCAGUGAGGAAUAUUGCGCAAUGGGGGCAACCCUGACGCAGCAACGCCGCGUGAGUGAGGAAGGUUUUCGGAUUGUAAAGCUCUGUCGAGCGGAAAGAAGUGCAUGGUGGUUAAUAUCCAUCAUGCUUGACGGUACCGCUAAAGGAAGCACCGGCUAACUCCGUGCCAGCAGCCGCGGUAAUACGGGGGGUGCAAGCGUUGUUCGGAAUCAUUGGGCGUAAAGCGCGUGUAGGCGGCUGGACAAGUCAGAUGUGAAAGCCCUGGGCUUAACCCAGGAAGUGCAUUUGAAACUGUUCAGCUAGAGUAAGGGAGAGGAAAGUGGAAUUCCUGGUGUAGAGGUGAAAUUCGUAGAUAUCAGGAGGAACACCGGUGGCGAAGGCGACUUUCUGGCCCUAUACUGACGCUGAGACGCGAAAGCGUGGGUAGCAAACAGGAUUAGAUACCCUGGUAGUCCACGCUGUAAACGAUGUUCACUAGGUGUUGGGGGUAUUGACCCUUCCAGUGCCGCAGCUAACGCAUUAAGUGAACCGCCUGGGAAUACGGUCGCAAGAUUAAACUCAAGGAAUUGACGG
rnacentral:rRNA from 1 species